UUAAUGCACAUGAUUUUGGAAUGAGAUGUUCGACGAGCAGGUGUCCACAUACCUUUGGUCAUGUAGUGUACAUCCUGUAUGACAAGGAACGAACACAGAGAGGAGUUGGCAAAAGCGCAAACAGACUGGACCACCAGGCUAGGUAAUACGAGCACCAUAUUUCUCUCAGAAUGCUUGUUCUAGGUUUCAUUGUGUGUUUUAUUUUAUUUAUCAGGGUUUUUUGCUUUAAAUGUAUUUGUUUGCUGUUCAAAUGUAUUUGAAUGUCAUAAUCUUUCUUUCAUUGUGCACCCAAAACAGGAGGGACGUACACAAUCUGUAAUGUGUACCAAGGCUGAAUUAGUUCUGUCACAGAAAAUAAAAGUUUUGAAACCUA